UGAGGAAUAUUGGUCAAUGGGCGGGAGCCUGAACCAGCCAAGUCGCGUGAGGGACGAAGGCCCUACGGGUUGUAAACCUCUUUUAUAAGGGAAUAAAGGGCGCCACGUGUGGUGUUUUGCAUGUACCUUAUGAAUAAGCAUCGGCUAACUCCGUGCCAGCAGCCGCGGUAAUACGGAGGAUGCGAGCGUUAUCCGGAUUCAUUGGGUUUAAAGGGUGCGUAGGCGGCUUGGUAAGUCAGCGGUGAAAUUCCAGUGCUCAACAUUGGCCGUGCCGUUGAUACUGCUGGGCUUGAAUGCGGAUGCCGUGGGAGGAAUGUGUGGUGUAGCGGUGAAAUGCAUAGAUAUCACACAGAACACCGAUUGCGAAGGCAUCUCACGAAUCCGCAAUUGACGCUGAGGCACGAAAGUGUGGGGAUC
rnacentral:rRNA from 1 species